AACGACUCUCGGCAACGGAUAUCUCGGCUCUCGCAUCGAUGAAGAACGUAGCGAAAUGCGAUACUUGGUGUGAAUUGCAGAAUCCCGUGAACCAUCGAGUUUUUGAACGCAAGUUGCGCCCUAAUCCCUUGGGAUGAGGGCACGCUUGCCUGGGCGUCACGC
rnacentral:rRNA from 1 species